ACGUUGUUUGUUUCACAAUCUCUCAAUCUUUCUCUUCUGGUUUCUGAAUCUCAUUAAUCUUUGUCUGUGUUAUCAUUUGGUUUCUCAAUCUUGUGAUGGGUUCGGCAGAUUUUACCUCACCCCCACCUGCACCGAAACCAAAUAAGAAAAGGAACAUACAGUUUUUAGAUGAUGACACGAUCACACACUCACCUCCUAUCGAGCUUGUUGAGAGACGCUUGCAAUUCACUGAUGAUGAUCAUACUCCCUCGCCAAUCAGAAGACGCUUACAGUUAAUCGAUGAAAUUAUUGAGCUUGGUGAGAUGCGAUUAGAACUGUUUCGUCUCAUUAACAACACCCAAGAAGCCAUGGAUGCUGAGAGAAAGAGGAAAGUCGCAAUCUUGAUGUCAUAUAGAUAACUUGAUUAUGCAUUUCUGUAUUCUUCUUGAUCAUCUGUUAGGUAAGAUUAGGUAUGUUCUUUUAUUUUGAAUUCAUCUCUUAGGUACCACACCAUUGCUUUAGGUAUGUUCUUUUAUUUUGAAUUCAUCUCUUAGGUACCACACCAUUGCUAUCCGUCUUGUCUUCAGGUAAUAAUCAUGUAUUUGUGUCUCAUUCUUUUAUUUCCCAACAUUAUUUUCAAGUGAUCAAACUUACUUGUUCGUCCGAGUCUUUUUGCAGGUACCUCCUCACCCAUUACAGGAAAAUCUUGUCCUUAAGGCUAACCUUUUCCAUGUACUACUAAUGGAUAGCCGAUUGAUCAUGUUCUAUCAUGUGUCAAAUUUGUCAAAUCUCUGUCUGUUGACGCUGUAAGGCAUGCAAUUGGGUACAUCUUCCGAGGCUGUAUUCAAACUUAGGAGAGCUCGCUCUCAACCCAUAUGAUCAACCCAACAUCACUGGUGAAAGCUUCUACCCAACCAAGUUCAGCUCAACUGAAGGCUAGCAGAUAAGUAGUCACACUCACAAACAGAAUAAAUAAGCAUCUCUUUGCAUACACUAAGACUAUGCUUGUUUGCAUUUCCCAGGAAUAACCACAUGUCUUCUACUUGUUUGCAUUUUCAUUGUAUGUGACUAUUGCUAGCAAUUUUGCAGGGAUAGGUUGUUUUCGACUUACCCUUAGUUUUCUUCAUUGCAAUGAUUAAACAAACUUGUUCUUUGUAUAAUUUCAAUAUAUCUUCCAUAUUAAAUUUGUUUGCGUUACUUUUCUUGUGAUCUGCUCCAUGAUAUUUACAAUGUGAUGCAGGGAGACUUUUGAUUUGGGUGGCUAGCCAUGCUCAACCACCUGCUAAAUUGUUCAAGAACCAAAAAUUCCCCAAUUUACUCUAUUGGAAGCAUAAUCUGGUCUUCAACUCCAACUGUGAGUGGAUGAGUGUCAUUGACAUGGGGCCUGCUGGAACAUUGGAAACGAGUAGAGGGUGAAUAUUUACGGUCAAGCUGAAGUAGCUCCCCUAUUGAAUCUGCUAAUUGAUACUGAAGUAGGCUGGUUUGACAAACCUGACAACACUGUCGGUUCGUUAACUCCAGGCAUCAUCAGCGAUACUGCCAUGUUCGAAAUCAUAAUUUCUGAGCUCAUGUUUAUGAUUGUGCAGUGUGUUUAGCAUGUUAAUCAACUAAAGAAUGUGUUUGGUGGCAUGGGCUGUGAUACUUUUCCACUUCAUAGGUGGUCGGUCUCAAUCAAGCCAAGUCUAUCAAAGGAUUUUCAGGCGACUACUCUGCUACACAUUCAGACCUUGUUGCUAUUGCAUUUGAAUCAACAACCAACAUAAGAACUUUAGCAUCAUUUUGUCAUAAAGAACAAAUACUGAAGAAAGUCAUAACAUAUCUGGACAUUCCAAAGAAAAGUACAAGAAAAUAUCAGAUAUGGGAUCAUCCAAGUUGUGGAACAUUGCACACGUCGUUGCUUUGUGGUACGCUACAAUUCUUGAGAGACAUGAAGCCUCUUUUGGAAAUGGAAUAAGAGCAUACCAAAUAUCUUCUCACAGUUCCUUCUAUCACAUGAUUAUACACACUGAUCCCUUCCCAACUGUCAUCACUGCCAUCAAUAUGCUAAUUCCAGCAUUCAAAACCAUUGACCGCAUAACUGAAAUUGAACCAGACAUACUGGACGACUCACAAUCCGAGAAGAUAGAAGGAACUGUCGAAUUUGAUAAUGUAAAUUUCAAGUGAUAUUGAAACGUGUUUGUGAUACCCUUUUUAUUAAGUGAAACAAAGAAAUUAGUAGUACCUUUUUGUUGCUUCUUACACUUAUCUUUACACUUAUACAAAUAAAUGUUACAUAAUAGUAUUAUGUAUAAAGUUUUCACAUAUGUAAAACUCUCAAUUAUGCAGAUUGUAAGAAAAAGUAGCAUAGUUUGCACAUAAUAAUAAACUUUUACUUUUAGGUAUGGUUUUAA